CAAGUUUUUAUCAUUAAAUUUUCCCUACCAGACACAUUCUCAUUAAAUAGCCAUGGAGGUAGUUAAUGAAGGAGACAAUUAUUCUCUCCUUUAUGAGGCUGCUAUGGUUGAGGCAGGCCGUCGAUGUAGGUAAUCUGGCCAUCGAUCUAGGUAAUAUUGCAUCUUCUUCUAACAAUAGUAGUCAUGAAGUUCAUAGUAAUAGCGAUGUUGGUGCAGCCAUCCAGGCCAUCGAUGUUGGUAAUAUGACCAUCGAUCUAGGUAAUAUUGCAUUUUCUUCAGACAAUAUUAGAAAAGAAGAACGUAGUAGUAGUGAUGGACAUAUAACAACUGCUGAGGAUGAUAGUAUAUAUAUUAGCAGGUCCUGUUAGCAGUACUUACUAUAAUAUUGAAAAAGAACUGUAUGAUUUUUACUUGAAACAUGUUAAGAGUCUCGGGAUUUGGUAUAGUAAGACAACCUAUUACAAGCCCUAAUGGUAAAUAACCUUUCUAUGUCCGCUUAACAUGUGAAAGGUCAGGUAAGCCGAAGCGCGAUUAUGAGAGUAGCAGAAAGAUAAGAGUGUCCGGCGCGAUUAUGAGAGUAGCAAAAAGAUAAUUCAGUAACCAAUUUUUCUUGGCUCAUGCGAGGACAUAUGAGAGUAAGUAGCAGUUUAAAAAGGAUGCUUGAGGUCAACGAUAGAACCAGUAUGAGAAUCCGCACAAACAUUCAAACGGCCCAGGUUUUAAAUGGCGGCCCAGAACAAAUGGGAUGCACUGCAGUAGAUUGUAAGAAUUUAUCACCAGUCAGUGGAAUAUUUUGGUGCAAAAUGGGGAUGCUGAAGCAAUGGUGAGCUUCUUUCGUAGAAUGGGAAGUUUGAGUCCUGAAUUCUACCAUACUUUUGAGUUAGACGAGGAAGGUAGACUGAAGGAUGUUCUUUGGGUUCAUCCGCGGACCAAAUAUGCUUAUGUAGACUUCGGCAUCUGUUUCUCUUUCAAGCUUGCCAUAUUUAUGGUGAAAGCAUAAAUCUUUCAUUGUAUCAUGACAUUAUUGCAAUAUUUAUAGUGAUAAAAGAUUGUCUUCCAGCAUAGUCUUGCAGAUUGCUUGGGAUUAUGCUUUCAUUGUCUUGCAGGUUCCUAACCAACAAUUACCUUCGAGAGACAGCUCCAAGCAGUCAUGCCGUGGAACAGCGGGUAGAAUGGCAAGUUCAGAACCUUUCCAUAACAAACUCUUCAUAUACUUAAUUCAGUCUACUUCUUUCUUCUCAUUCGGAAUUCUAAAACUCUGCAUCUAGGGUUAAUGAAAUUUCACUUUCAUUUAUGAACUUUCUCACUUACGCACUUUCUUGUCUCUCAUGAAGGUUGUAUGCAUUUGAUGUCCACUGCAACUCUUUCUUCCCUAUGAAUGUUUUGCUUUACUAUAAGGGAAGUGUCAAGAUGAAAACGUGCUGUUUGCGCAUCUUCUGGCACAGUAUAUUAACAGCUACUGAUGUUUUUUGUAAUAAAGACUGAUGGCUUUCUUUUUUGUGGCAGUCAUACAUUAUUUUCUCUCCCCUGUUUUGGUAGUUUAUGGUUUCAUUCCUGUUUUGCUGUCAAAUUUGCUAUUCAUGGUCGCAGCUGCCUACUAUCAUUACCUCAACUUUUUAGGUUAUGAUGUAUUACCCUUGUUGGAGAAGACAACAUUCUUCCUGUAUCCAAUAGGCAUUGUGAUAGUCCUUUCACCCAUCUUUAUUUUGAUUGGAUUCAAUCCAUCAAGACACUUCAUGAAUAUAUACUUCAGCAGAGUGUUAUGAACUCAAGCUAACACUGGAUGAGGACAUGUUAGGAUGAAAGAUGCCUUCAGACAGGUCGUGAAUAGGUCAUUAUUGAAAUCAUUUGCAGAGGCUUUAAUUGUUAAUGUGAUUGGGGAACGUUUGUUUAGUAUCAUCUCUGGUUAGGUAAUUUUGAUGUUACGAAUGAGAAAUAUAUCUGACGGGAGCCUUAUUUGUAUGUCAGCUAUAAAACUUCACCCGAUGAGUUCAUUUAAUGUAAAGAUUCUAUUUUUGAUUUGUUGAAUCACAGAGGUGACUGUAGCAUUGCUCGUGAAUUCUCGUUCUGCGGUUAUUAACAUUUCCCAUUUGCUGGUGUCCAUGACUAAUUAGCUUUUGUUCAACGUUGAUCGAAAUCUUUCUGUGUUUGGAUCAAGAAUUGUUCCACCCUUGGUUAAUUCAGUCUAUUCAGCUAGUAUAAAUCA